rnacentral:rRNA from 1 species
GUUAUAAGAUCCCUCAAAGAUGAUGAGGUUAAUAGGUUCGGGGUGUAAGCGCAGUAAUGUGUGUAGCUGACGAAUACUAAUCGAUCGAAGACUUAAUCAAAUU